rnacentral:rRNA from 1 species
GACAGAGGGGGCAAGCGUUGCUCGGAAUCACUGGGCGUAAAGGGCGCGUAGGCGGGAUGGCAAGUCGGUCGUGAAAUCCCCGGGCUCAACCUGGGAACUGCAUCCGAAACUGCCUUGCUCGAGUAUGGGAGAGGGAAGUGGAAUUUCCGGUGUAGCGGUGAAAUGCGUAGAUAUUGGGAGGAACACCAGUGGCGAAGGCGGCUCACUGGACCGGUACUGACGCUGAGGCGCGAAAGCGUGGGGAGCAAACAGGG